GACAGAGGGGGCAAGCGUUGCUCGGAAUCACUGGGCGUAAAGGGCGCGUAGGCGGGAUGGCAAGUCAGUCGUGAAAUCUCUCGGCUCAACCGAGAACGUCGGCUGAUACUGCCGUUCUUGAGGGAUGCAGAGGAGACUGGAAUUCCCGGUGUAGCGGUGAAAUGUGUAGAGAUCGGGAGGAACACCGGUGGCGAAGGCGGGUCUCUGGGCAUCUCCUGACGCUGAGGCGGCGAAAGCGUGGGAGCAAACGGG
rnacentral:rRNA from 1 species